rnacentral:rRNA from 1 species
CCUACGGGAGGCAGCAGUGGGGAAUAUUGCACAAUGGGGGAAACCCUGAUGCAGCGACGCCGCGUGAGAGAUGAAGGAGUUCGGUAUGGAAAGCUCUAGCAGCAGGGAAGAAGAUGACGGUACCUGACUAAGAAGCCCCGGCUAACGACGUGCCAGCAGCCGCGGUAAUACGUAGGGGGCAAGCGUUAUCCGGAUUUACUGGGUUUAAAGGGAGCGUAGACGGCGAUGAAAGCCAGAUGUGAAAGCCCGGGGCUCCACCCCGGGACUGCAUUUGGAACUGUGUGGCUGGAGGGUCGGAGAGGCAGGCGGAAUUCCUUUUGUAGCGGUGCAAUUCUUAGAUCUUAGG